rnacentral:rRNA from 1 species
AGUAACGCGUGAGGAACCUGCCUCAAAGAGGGGACAACAGUUGGAAACGACUGCUAAUACCGCAUAAGCCCACGGCUCGGCAUCGAGCAGAGGGAAAAGGAGUGAUCCGCUUUGAGAUGGCCUCGCGUCCGAUUAGCUAGUUGGUGAGGUAAUGGCCCACCAAGGCGACGAUCGGUAGCCGGACUGAGAGGUUGAACGGCCACAUUGGGACUGAGACACGGCCCAG